rnacentral:lncRNA from 1 species
CACAGGCCGGCUCUUUCAGACACGCUCUUUCCCAGCAUAGACCACCAAGGCUGCUUCCCUAGUGGGACUGAUGCCGUCACCAUCUGCUCUCAAAGGAAGAAGAUCAGAGUAACUGUUGUGUGUGUGUGACAGCGAGUCCAUUUUAUGGGCAGACGAGAUUUCUGUCCACACCUGCUGGGUAGCAAAGGGGCUUGAAACUGCCGGGGCCAAAAAUAAAGAGGCAACUUACUCCUCAAGAGAAAACGGUGGUUUACACAAGAAGAUAAAGGAUGUCUAGGACCUACCUUCUGAAUUUUACUGGCAGUAAAACCUUCCCUACGGAACAGUGUGCUUUGAGUCCCGCACCAUAUAACAUCUUCACUGCCCUUCUUCUUGUGGCCGCUUCUGCACAUCUCUCCAGAACAAAGAACCGCUAAGCAACCACCUGGCAAUGUUGUCAAUGGAAACAAAAUAUCCUGAUGUGUGCCUGACAGGCGCAGGCUGCACACAAAGCCCAGAUUAGCUGGAUAAUUGCCAUCUUUGUUUCCAACUUCCUCUCGGUUUCCUUUACAAAUUACAAUUGACAACUAGAACUUGACCAGAGAAGAAAAUCCAUAUGAUUGCUGAUUGGGUCCCUCGGGAAUAGGGGUAUACUUAUUUGUUAAGUGACUUCCAGAGGCUAUUUGCUGAGAGACAGGGGAUAAACUGGGACUUCUAAAUGGAGGUUAUUGACUCCCUCCUAGGCUCCAUCAGGAGGGCAUCAGUAUGAAAAGCCUCCAGUGGCUUGCGGUGUAGGAAUAGACUAGACAGUGGGUAGACAGGGAUGUCUCAUCAAAAUGAGAUGCAGGUAGUCCUGAAUUAUUCAGGUACCAUUUGUAUUCUACAAAUAGCUUAUCAUGGUAGGUAGACCUGAAAGUGGCAGAGCUAAUUAUUCUGAGGAUGAUUUAUUGAGAUUGAUUCGGGGGUAACAUCUGCCUUUUGCAGUUCUGUUUUCCCCAGACUGAAGUUGUUCUAACACAAUUGUGUUUUUCCCCCCCUCAGCAAUGUAUUUAUAUAGUAGAAAAGAUUCAAAAUUACUUUUGGGCACAGGGGCGUAGGGAGGGGUGGAGUGGGAUAUGCUUUUUAUUUUAAAACAUCCCCUUAGCGUACCACCAAACUGUGCUUCUUAACCUUUCCAGUUCUCAUCUAAGGAUGUUAACUUUAUUCAUAGUUGUGAUGUGUUAUCUAUGCGUGGCCCAGGGAGUGGCACUGUUAGGAGGUGUGCCUUGUUGGAGUAAGUGUGUCACUGUGGGCAUGGGCAUAAGACCCUCAUCCUAGCAGGCGGGAAGUCAGUCUUCCACUAACAUCCUUCAGAUGAAGAUGAGAACUCUUAGCUCUGCCUGCACCAUGCCUGCCUGGAUACUGCCGUAUUCCCGCCAUGAUGAUAAUGGAUGGGACCUCUGAACCUGUAAGCCAGCUCCAAUUAAAUGUUGUCCUUUAUAAGAGUUGCCUUGGUCAUAGUGUCUGUUCACAGCAGUAAAACUCUAAGACAAUAGUUUUACUUCAUGCUCCAGUACGAGGACCUUUUAGUGAACUUGUGAGAUGAACUGGCCACACUCUGGUCAUUUCUGAGGAAGAUGAUGGUAAACUGCUGUAUGCACCAUGCCUUAAAUGGUCAGUAAAGAAUGAGAAUAUUCAUGGAGGACAACAUGGAGACCAGGAAAUUUAAAAAUAUAGUUAAAAAAAUUCAUACA